rnacentral:rRNA from 1 species
CUGGCGGCGUGCCUAAUACAUGCAAGUCGAACGGCUUUUCUAUGGAAGCUUGCUUCCACUGAGAAGAUAGUGGCGAACGGGUGAGUAACACGUGGGGUAACCUGCCCAUAAGAGGGGGGAUAACAUCCGGAAACGGGUGCUAAUACCGCAUAGUUUUCUUGGUCGCAUGAUCGGGAAAGGAAAGACGGCCUUUGUGCUGUCGCUUAUGGAUGGACCCGCGGCGUAUUAGUUAGUUGGUGAGGUAACGGCUCACCAAGACGAUGAUACGUAGCCGACCUGAGAGGGUGAUCGGCCACAUUGGGACUGAGACACGGCCCAAACUCCUACGGGAGGCAGCAGUAGGGAAUCUUCCGCAAUGGACGAAAGUCUGACGGAGCAACGCCGCGUGAGUGAAGAAAAGGUUUUCGGAUCGUAAAACUCUGUUGUCAGAGAAGAACAAGUUGGAGAGUAACUGCUCCAGCCUUGACGGUAUCUGACCAGAAAGCCACGGCUAACUACGUGCCAGCAGCGGC